rnacentral:RNase_P_RNA from 1 species
CAUGUAAACCGGGUGGCCGCCGCCCCGUCCUUCCUGAGAAGGAUCGGGGGGGAGGAAAGUCCGGGCUCCACUGGGCAGGGUGCUGGGUAACUCCCAGGCCCCGAUGACCGGAUUCCGGGAAUCGGGGACGGAAAGUGGCACAGAAACAUACCGUCCCGGCUUGUCGGGACAAGGGUGAAAUCGGACGGUAAGAGCGUCCGGUCGUCUGCGGUGACGUAGCGACGGCCAAACCCCACCUGGAGCAAGGC